rnacentral:rRNA from 1 species
UACGGAGGGUGCAAGCGUUGUUCGGAUUUAUUGGGCGUAAAGGGCGUGUAGGCGGCUCGUUAAGUCUGAUGUGAAAGCCCCGGGCUCAACCCGGGAAGUGCAUUGGAAACUGGCGAACUUGAGUACGGGAGAGGGCAGUGGAAUUCCUAGUGUAGGAGUGAAAUGCGUAGAUAUUGCUAGGAACACCAAUGGCGAAGGCAGCUUGCUGGGCUACUCCUGACACUGAGGUACGAAAGCGUGGGGAGCGAACAGG